CAGAUAAUGAAGUGACGUGUCAACAGAACAGAGAUAAUGAAGUGAUGUGGCAACAGAACCGAGAUAAUGAAGUGACAUGUCAACAGAACAUAGAUAAUGAAGUGACGUGUCAACAGAACAGAGAUAAUGAAGUGACGUGUCAACAGAACAGAGAUAAUGGAGUGACGUGUCAACAGAACAUAGAUAAGGAAGUGACGUGUCAACAGAACAUAGAUAAUGAAGUGACGUGUCAACAGAACAGAGAUAAUGAAGUGUCGAGUCAAUACAACAGAGAUAAUGAAGUGAUGUGUCAAUAGAUCAGAGAUAAUGAGAUGUGGCAACAGAACAGAGAUAAUGAAUUGACUUGUCAACAGAACAGAGAUAAUGAAGUGAUGUGUCAAUAGAUCAGAGAUAAUGAGAUGUGGCAACAGAACAGAGAUAAUGAAGUGUCGAAUCAAUAGAACAGAGAUAACGAAGUGAUGUCAACAGAACAGAUAAUGAAAUGUGGCAACAGAACAGAGAUAAUGAAGUGUCGAAUCAAUAGAACAGAGAUAACGAAGUGAUGUCAACAGAACAGAUAAUGAAGUGACGUGUCAACAGAACAGAGAUAAUGAAGUGAUGUGGCAACAGAACCGAGAUAAUGAAGUGACGUGUCAACAGAACAUAGAUAAUGAAGUGACGUGUCAACAGAACAGAGAUAAUGAAGUGACGUGUCAACAGAACAGAGAUAAUGAAGUGACGUGUCAACAGAACAGAGAUAAUGAAGUGACGUGUCAACAGAACAGAGAUAAUGAAGUGACGUGUCAACAGAACAGAGAUAAUGGAGUGACGUG
ensembl:lncRNA